GGAUAUAGCUCAGGUGGCAGAGUGCAUGCUUAGCAUACAUGAGGUCCUGGGUUCAAUUCCUAGUACAUCCU
rnacentral:tRNA from 1 species